UACGUAGGGUGCGAGCGUUGUCCGGAAUUACUGGGCGUAAAGGGCUCGUAGGCGGUUUGUCGCGUCGGGAGUGAAAACCUACAGCUUAACUGUGGGCUUGCUUUCGAUACGGGCAGACUAGAGGUAUGCAGGGGAGAACGGAAUUCCUGGUGUAGCGGUGAAAUGCGCAGAUAUCAGGAGGAACACCGGUGGCGAAGGCGGUUCUCUGGGCAUGAUCUGACGCUGAGGAGCGAAAGUGUGGGGAGCGAACAGG
rnacentral:rRNA from 1 species